CACGUAGGGUGCAAGCGUUGUCCGGAAUCAUUGGGCGUAAAGAGCUCGUAGGCGGCUUAGUAAGUCGGGUGUGAAAACCCCAGGCUCAACCUGGGGACGCCACCCGAUACUGCUAUAGCUAGAGUCCAGUAGGGGAGUGUGGAAUUCCCAGUGUAGCGGUGGAAUGCGCAGAUAUCAGGAGGAACACCGAUGGCGAAGGCAGGUCUCUGGGCCAUUACUGACACUGAGAAGCGAAAGCAUGGGGAGCGAACAGG
rnacentral:rRNA from 1 species